rnacentral:rRNA from 1 species
CAAGUCGAACGGCAGCACGGGUGCUUGCACCUGGUGGCGAGUGGCGAACGGGUGAGUAAUACAUCGGAACAUGUCCUGUAGUGGGGGAUAGCCCGGCGAAAGCCGGAUUAAUACCGCAUACGAUCUAUGGAUGAAAGCGGGGGACCUUCGGGCCUCGCGCUAUAGGGUUGGCCGAUGGCUGAUUAGCUAGUUGGUGGGGUAAAGGCCUACCAAGGCGACGAUCAGUAGCUGGUCUGAGAGGACGACCAGCCACACUGGGACUGAGACACGGCCCAGACUCCUACGGGAGGCAGCAGUGGGGAAUUUUGGACAAUGGGCGAAAGCCUGAUCCAGCAAUGCCGCGUGUGUGAAGAAGGCCUUCGGGUUGUAAAGCACUUUUGUCCGGAAAGAAAUCCUUGGUUCUAAUAUAGCCGGGGGAUGACGGUACCGGAAGAAUAAGCACCGGCUAACUACGUGCCAGCAGCCGCGGUAAUACGUAGGGUGCGAGCGUUAAUCGGAAUUACUGGGCGUAAAGCGUGCGCAGGCGGUUUGCUAAGACCGAUGUGAAAUCCCCGGGCUCAACCUGGGAACUGCAUUGGUGACUGGCAGGCUAGAGUAUGGCAGAGGGGGGUAGAAUUCCACGUGUAGCAGUGAAAUGCGUAGAGAUGUGGAGGAAUACCGAUGGCGAANGGCGCCCCCUGGGCCAAUACUG